GACGAACGCUGGCGGCGUGCUUAACACAUGCAAGUCGAGCGGAGCGGCGAACGGGUGAGUAACACGUGAGUAACUGCCCCCCUCUCUGGGAUAAAAGUUGGAAACGGCUGCUAAUACCUGAUAGUGGGGGAUGACUCGCGUCCUAUCAGAUUGUUGGUUGGGUAUUGGCCUACCAAGGCGACGACGGGUAGCCGGCCUGAUAGGGCGACCGGCCACAUUGGGCUGAGAUACGGCCCAAACGCCUACGGGAGGCAGUAGUGGGGAAUAUUGCACAAUGGGGGAAACGCUGAUGAAGAAACGCCGCGUGCGGGAUGACGGCCUUCGGGUUGUAAACCGCUUUCAGCCAUGACGCGGUAGUUGCAGAAGAAGCACCGGCUAACUACGUGCCAGCAGCCGCGGUAAUAC
rnacentral:rRNA from 1 species